rnacentral:rRNA from 1 species
GUAAAGCGCGCGUAGGCGGCUAAUUAAGUCAAAUGUGAAAUCCCCGAGCUUAACUUGGGAAUUGCAUUCGAUACUGGUUAGCUAGAGUGUGGGAGAGGAUGGUAGAAUUCCAGGUGUAGCAGUGAAAUGCGUAGAGAUCUGGAGGAAUACCGAUGGCGAAGGCAGCCAUCUGGCCUAACACUGACGCUGAGGUGCGAAAGCAUGGGGAGCAAACAGGAUUAGAUACCCUGGUAGUCCAUGCCGUAAACGAUGUCUACUAGCCGUUGGGGCCUUUGAGGCUUUAGUGGCGCAGCUAACGCGAUAAGUAGACCGCCUGGGGAGUACGGUCGCAAGACUAAAACUCAAAUGAAUUGACGGGGGCCCGCACAAGCGGUGGAGCAUGUGGUUUAAUUCGAUGCAACGCGAAGAACCUUACCUGGCCUUGACAUAGUAAGAACUUUCCAGAGAUGGAUUGGUGCCUUCGGGAACUUACAUACAGGUGCUGCAUGACUGUCGUCAGCUCGUGCCGUGAGAUGUUGGGUUAAGUCCCGCAACGAGCGCAACCCUUUUCCUUAUUUGCCAGCGAGUAAUGUCGGGAACUUUAAGGAUACUGCCAGUGACAAACUGGAGGAAGGCGGGGACGACGUCAAGUCAUCAUGGCCCUUACGGCCAGGGCUACACACGUGCUACAAUGGUCGGUACAAAGGGUUGCUACCUAGCGAUAGGAUGCUAAUCUCAAAAAGCCGAUCGUAGUCCGGAUUGGAGUCUGCAACUCGACUCCAUGAAGUCGGAAUCGCUAGUAAUC